rnacentral:rRNA from 1 species
UACCAGCACCCCGAGUGGUCGGGACGUUUAUUGGGCCUAAAGCAUCCGUAGCCGGUUCUACGAGUCUUCCGUUAAAUCCAACUGCUUAACAGGUGGGCUGCGGAAGAUACUAUAGAGCUAGGAGGCGGGAGAGGCAAGCGGUACUCGAUGGGUAGGGGUAAAAUCCGUUGAUCCAUUGAAGACCACCAGUGGCGAAGGCGGCUUGCCAGAACGCGCUCGACGGCGAGGGAUGAAAGCUGGGGGAGCAAACGGG